AAGGCGAAAGCAGCUCGCUGGAACGAUUCUGACGCUCAUGGACGAAAGCGUGGGGAGCGAAUGGGAUUAGAUACCCCAGUAGUCCACGCUGUAAACGAUGGAUACUAGACAUUGGAAGUCUCGACCCUUUCAGUGUCGUUUUAAUCAAGCUAACGCAUUAAGUAUCCCGCCUGGGGAGUACGGCCGCAAGGCUAAAACUCAAAGGAAUUGACGGGGACUCGCACAAGCGGUGGAGCAUGUGGUUUAAUUCGAUAAUAAGCGGGGAACCUUACCAGGACUUGACAUCUGGCUGCAGAAUCUUGGAAACAAGAUAGCCUUCGAGGGUGCCAGACAGGUGCUGCAUGGUUGUCGUCAGCUUGUGCCGUGAGGUGCACGGUUAAGUCCGAUAACAAGCGCAACCCCUACACUGUGUUACAUUGUACACAGUGAACUGCCUCGGUUAACGAGGAGGAAGGUGGGGAUGACGUCAAAUCAGCAUGGCUCUUACGUCCUGGGCGACACACGUGCUACAAUGGGUAGGACAACGGGUAGCCAAGCCGUAAGGCGGAGCCAAUCCUCUAAACCUACUCUCAGUUCGGAUUGAGGGCUGCAAUUCGCCCUCAUGAAGCCGGAAUCGCUAGUAACCGUGGAUCAGCCACGCCGCGGUGAAUACGUUCUCGAGUCUUGUACACACCGCCCGUCACGUCAAGGGAGCCGGCAAUACCCGAAGGUCCGCGUACGCGGGACGACGGUAGGGCUGGUGACAGGGACGAAGUCGUAACAAGGCAUCCGUAGCGGAAGCUGUGGAUG
rnacentral:rRNA from 1 species